CUCCACCAAACUUGAACAACCGUUGAGUACCAAAGUAUCAAGAUUGGUCGCCGUUGAAAGAUCUGGGAUUUCUCUGAGGUUUUCAGACUCCGAAAAAUCCAUAUGCUUUAGGCAUGUAAGCAGCUGACCAAAAUAGACAAUGAAAUAAACUUACACAUCAAAAGAAAGUGUCGUGCAAGAACCCAUUUUAGUAAUCUAGCAUUCUAAAUUCUUGUCAAUGUUUUGGGUAAAUGUAAGAAUCUUCUAAAUAGAUGAACCGACCACAAUUUUUGAUAAUAUAUCGACACUUACCUCAACUCCUUCCCAUAGCUUCUCAACCUUGCUGUUGGGCAUUCUUAGCUCAACAAGAUAUUCAGGACAAAAAUUAGACGGCAUGCAUCUCAUCGGAUAUCCUGGCCAACUUAGUAACUUAAGUUUAUCGGGAAAAUCAUUGAAUCUUUCGGGUAGAUCCCAUCUAAAACCUUUCUUCCUUUCCAAGGAACUUUUGUAGAAUUUCAGAAAUCGGAGAUUAGUCAUCCCGUCAAAGGCAUUCUUAUGUAUCCGCACCUUUUUAACCUCAUCUAUAUCCAAUGAUAUACCUAAAACCUUUUCAGUACCCUGAAAAAUACAAGAAUCAUUAUCUUAAAAACAGGGAAAUUUUUAGUCUCAUAGACGGAGUUAUGGAAAAAGAAAGAAAAAAAGCUUACCGUGCAACCUCUAAGUACAUCGCAAAUAUCCUUUGAGUUCAUAAGGAUUCUNNNNNNNNNNNNNNNNNNNNNNNNNNNNNNNNNNNNNNNNNNNNNNNNNNNNNNNNNNNNNNNNNNNNNNNNNNNNNNNNNNNNNNNNNNNNNNNNNNNNGAAGUAUCGCUUUAUCUUCUUCGCUAUCGAACUCAUCAUAACGGAAUCUUAAGGUUUCUACAAUGUCUCUGUUCGGACUUUUUCGAAGCCUUGGCAACAUGUCUAUCCAAUCCUCCUUGUUCCUCCCUUUCAUAACCUUACCUAGAAUCACAAGACCCAAAGGAAGACGACCUGAACACGCUGCAACUUCAGAAGCGAGCUCCAUGAAACCAUCAGGCGGAGAACUUUGCGUAAAAGCUGAUCGACAGAACAUCUCAAGAGCUUGCUUUUCAGAUGGGAAACAAACCUUGUAAAUAUGAUGAACCCCAUGGGCCUCUAAAAGACGCUUAUCUUUUGUAACCACAAUAAUUCUGCUCCCACUUCCAAACCAUUGAGUUUGCCCCGCCAAGGCUUCUAGCACCACUAGAUCAUCUAAAUCAUCGAUAAUGAUAAGAACUUUCCGGUGCUUUAGUCUUUCUCUCAAUGCACCUAAAUGUUCUAUCUUUAUGUUUUUGCCAAGAAUUUCAGAUAAGAAACUCCCUUGCAAACUCAACUUCAUGUUAUGGUCGCCGGUUUUGGCUCCCCUAUAACCUUCUAUACUCUUCGAUACGAAAGCUCUGUCUAUGAAGGCUUUACCUUGGAAGUGACGAGAGAGGAGAUUAAAUAAAGCUCUUGCAAUAGUAGUCUUGCCAAUUCCCGAGGGACCCCAUAUCCCAACCAUCCUUGCUUCCUCAGAUUCCAAGCACAACAAUAAAUUCAUCUCUGCGAUAUGAUUGUUGAUGCCGACAAAGUUAUCAAAAUCCUUCGAUGGAGUUUCAUUCAGUUUAUGAAAUAUAUCACUGACGAUGUCCUCGAUCAUUUUUGCUUCACUAUUACUAACAAACAUGAAACAAUAUAUAUAGUCAAAUUAAUGUCAAGUAGGAACGUUUAUAUUCACAAAUACGAAAAAAGUAACAAUUCAAAGACUAGUACCAAGUAUGAGAAUGAUAUCCAAGGAGAUUUGCUACAUCGGUUAAAGCUUGCCGCCAUAGUUGUCUCUCAUCCUCUGUUUUGUUCAGGCAAGUUUUCUUAAAGGCUUCUCCAAACUUUCCCAAUUGCUUCCUGACAUGAAAAGGAUCCAAGGCGUAGAAAAUAGGUAUCACAAUUUGUCCCAACUCUUCUUUGCAUUUCAAAAUCUCCACCAAUUCGUCUAGGCACCAUUUGGAAGUAGCGUAGUUUUCGGAGAACACUACCACUGCAAUUCUUGAGCCCCUAAUCGCCUGUAUAAGCUCUGGUGCGAUCGAGUGGCUUCUUUCGAUCUCACUGUCUUUGAACGGUUUGAUGGACUUGAGAUCCAGCUCCUUAAGAAAGUGACUGAGGAAUGUUUUGCGGACAUCUGCUCCUCUAAAGCUCGGGAAGACGUCAUAGUCCCAAUUGCGAGAAGAAGACAUAGAGAUAGAGAAACAAAAACAACACAAUUUCUUGUAAAUCAAGGAUCUGAAUGUCUCCUCGUCUUCUUCGAUGUGAGGAAAGCCUAAGCUAAUAGAAACAAAGAGGGUUCAAGAGAGGGUCUUUAGAAUUUUUUUUUUUUUUUUUUUUUCUGAAGGAAAAGAUUUUUCAGCAAACAGGAAAACAAUUUCACUCUAUGAGAAGCAAUAAAACAUAGACGAAGAGAAAGAGACAUAAAUUGAGAAAAAGACAGAUGGGUCAUUUGGGUUCCCACUUCUUUAUCGUUACCGUCAACUCCAAGUCAACUCCAAUCAAUGUUCACAUGCAGAGACCUUCUAGAAGAACUAGUGUAGUGCUUAGGCCCGGGCCUCUACCACAUGGCAACAUAUCCAUUUGCUAUAGGUCCAAAGCCACUUUCAAAAAUUUUAGUGAAGAAAAAGAGUUCAAUUUUUAGAAAUUUUUUUUAUAAUAAGAGAUUUUAAUUUUUUUUAGUUUUUACCAAGGGCCUUCCUAUAGAUUGAGACGGCACUAGAAAAAGUCUUGAGUUAGAAAAAGUCUAUGAAUGGCAAUAGAUUGAAAAAGUCUAUUAUAACAUUUGCCAAUAGAAAUCAAACGAAUUACUAGGCCUGAGCAUAAUACCCGAACCCGAAGAACCGAACCGAACCCGACCUGAAAAACCCAAUCCGAACCCGAACCCAAAGUUUUAAAAUACCCGAACGAAAUAAUGUAUAGUCAGUAGCCUUCCAAAACAUAUCGAAGAAUAAAUAGAUAUCGGAACAGACGGUCUAACACUUUGUAAUCAGAUUGUCUACAACCUCAAUUGUGUUUCAAACGCCAUUUUUUGUGUUUACAUAUGAAAAAUGUUUCAAUCUUAAUAAUUCGAACAUUUAUAUAAUAAAGUUAAACAUAGAUGUUUUACACCAGUAUUACUUCUUAAAAGUUUACGGAAAGAAUUCAAUAAACUCACUAAUUGAUUACUGGUUCUUUUGAAGAAAAGCACUAACAAGAAACACAAAAAUAAACAAAAUCUAAUGUUGUUUUAACUCUAUUUUAGUAUUCUUCCCUUCAUUUUUUCUCUCUCUUUGGUCUUGUUGUGGUAGUUUUUCUCUUUCGUUGAGUCUGACGUAGCGGAAGCUUCUAGGGAUAGAUUACGAAAGUAAUCUUGAGUAUCAAUGGAUCUCAAGCAAGACAAUCGUAGCUCGGAAUUCUAGUGUUAUCGGAGAUCAAUGGAUUCACGAUAAACAAAGACUUCAAAGACUUCGUUUGAGAAUACUCUUCUCAGUGCUUAUCAAAAGCUCUUUAAUUUUAUUAAUCAAAAACAACUGAAUACAAUAGGAGGCCUAAAAAGGCUAUUUAUAAUAAAACCCGAAAACCCUAAAACAUAGAAUAUUCUAGAACAAUAAUUAUUAAUUAAUUAAAAUAUGAUAAUAUUAGAUAUUCCAAAUAUCUCGCUGCAUCAGAGUCUCAUUUAGUUUCCUAGGUGUCUCUAGGAGUCCUAGCUAGUCUCUUGUGUUUUUUGGUGUGUUUAGAAAGCUUUCAGGUCACUCGGAGGCUAGGAGAUGCACUUGGAGAUUUUGGAACUUGCUUAGUCUUAUUAUUUGUUUUUAGUCAUUUUAAUCAUUUAUGCUUUCAUUGCUUAUAUUUAUGUUGUCCACUGGUUAGACUGGUAAAACCCUUUUGUUUUAGCUUAAAUAAAAGAUUUCGUAUAGUUAGUGUGCUAAUCCUAUUUUCUUGUGCAUUUGAUUUUAGUUACUAAAAGAAAAAUAAAACAGAAAGUAUCAACAAGUUAAUUAACUCACCAGUUUCAUUGAAUAUUCGAUAUAGUUCAGCCUUUGAGAGAAGAAGAGAGCCAAAUCCUGUAGAAGCAGCUAGCUGAAUAGCCCACCCAUGGUGCGGACCAAACACCUGAUUGUAAGCUUUAUAUGCUGCAUCCUUUACGGAGCUAUCAGCUCUACAAAUCAUAUUCAAACACAUUUAAAAUCUUUUGAUAUUGACCCAAAAAAAAAUAGUUACAACAAGUACUCAGCUAGCUAGCAUGGAAUUAUUGCAACACAUUUAUAUUGUGUUAAUAUAUAGGGGCAUAACCAAGUGAUGAUAGUUCAAUGGUUAUGGCUUAUUCGUCUAGAACAGUAAUCGUUUUCCCCUGGAUGCACAUUCUUUUUGACAACUACGGAUCGACUUAUCCCAUAGGAGCGCACCUGCAUAUCAUCUUAAACAUCUAGAAUAGUGAGAGGCGAGCCCAAUGCCAUGCUAGUGAGAGCACAUAAACCCCAAACAAGCCCAAAGUCCACUAACCCAUAAGGAUCAUUUUAAUUUUUAAGCGAAUGCGAAUUUACGCCUCCUGACAGUAUAUAAGAGAUAUAGGCCAUCCCCUAAUUGUUAAUUGAUUUUGAGUUGGAAGUCCAUAUUCUAAUAAUGUUGUCUUCCUACCAUCCAGCCACCAUUCCUAACUGAUAGGGCUCGAAACUAGGGCCCCCAAGCACAAAGGAACCACUAGACCACGAGCCUCUCAACACCAGUACAGAAUUCACAUGGUGAGUAUAGAUUUCAAAGAUUAGUUUAGAAUUUCAGUUAUUUAAAUGAAAUAUAUAAAAACUUGGAAUGACACAUAUGGAAGAUGGCAAGGCUCGAUUAAAGAUGUCGCAAAACUCACAAAUGAGAGUCUAGAGGAACACUUACUCAGUGGCUAAUAGCUCUUCAAAUAGAACCCUUAUCAUUUCUAGACCACGCUUUACCCUCAAAAGGUUUUCAGACUCCGAAAAAUCCAUAUGCUUUAGGCAUGUAAGCAGCUGACCAAAAUAGACAAUGAAAUAAACUUACACAUCAAAAGAAAGUGUCGUGCAAGAACCCAUGUUAGUAAUCUAGCAUUCUAAAUUCUUGUCAAUGUUUUGGGUAUAAUGUAAGAAUCUUCCAAAUAGAUGAACCGACCACAAUUUUUGAUAAUAUAUCGACACUUACCUC
rnacentral:lncRNA from 1 species